rnacentral:misc_RNA from 1 species
AAAACGUUGCACAGGGAGCAGCGACGACUUGUUAUUUGGCAUUGCAUCCUCAUGUAAAAGGAGUAAGUGGGCGAUACUUCUGCGACAGCAAUCAAUAUGAACCUAGCGCCAAAGCAAAGGAUUUGGACUUGGCAAAGAAAUUAUGGGACUUCAGUCUCGAGUUGAUUGCCUGAUAGGGUUUUGACACUCACUUUAUUCUAAACAUUUUGUGUUUGUGUCGAG